GAGUUUAUUGUAUCACUAUUUUCUCUUUUGGCAGUUUCUGUAUUUAUUAUGGAGUAUUGAUGUUAGUGCAUUUUUUUUGUUUGUAUUUUGUGUUCCACGAUGAUAAUCAGGUUGCGUGUUAUUUUUUAGGUUUGGAUAAUUUGUGUUAUGUACAUUCUCUCUUUUUGGUUAAUUAGCCUCUUGCCACACGUCUACGCGUGUGUCAAUUGGUGCUUUUUUAUUGUUUUGAAUCUUAGUUUCUUGUUUUAAUUUUACUUAUUUUUUAUAAAAUGGGUCCAUUAUUUAAUAGUUUGACUUGACGGUCAUAGUUUGGGAAAAAAGGAAAGAAAAAAAAAAGGCUCGACUGGGCUCUGAGUCUAAGAAGGCCUGGGUUUCAAGCCCAUUUGACAGCCCAAUUUCCAAUUUAAUUUAACCGGAGUCGUGACCCAACUUAAUUAAUAGCCGUUUUUUACUACCACAAGCCCUAAACUUAACUUUCCCUCUCUCUCUUCGCGCGCUCGCUCGCUCUCGCUCUCUCUCUCGUCAGCUCUCCUCGCUCUCCUCCAUCAUAUCUCUCGAUCGCUACUGUUGAUCACGACAGAGCUUGAGUGGAUUUGGCGGAGACCUUCGCCGUCGCCGUUAUCAGCAGGCCUCUUCGUUUGGCGUUUGUGGUGAUAUAUAUUCCUUUCUCCUUGUUCUCUCGAUUUCUUUAUGUAAUUUUUUUGUUCGAUCGUUUAAUUCGAUUGUUGGAUUUGUUUGAUUUGUUGAAUUUGUUGAAUUUUUUCGAUUUUGCCCUAAUUCUGAAUUUUUUACAUGGCUGACAAAACUAAUUUGCUGGCCGCCGAUCCUUAUUCGGAAUUUCUAAGAAAUGUGCAUGACAUUGUAAGGGAGUCGGUGGUGAGUAAUGAGAGGCUUUUUCUUGACAUUUUUGCUGUAAAUGAUGUGAGGGAAGAAGUUGAGAGGUUCAAGAGGACCCCUUUUGCACAGAAGGCGGAGAGGGACCAAAAAUUGAAAAUCCUUUUGUCUUUCCGCUGAUUAUUCUUUUUUUUUUCUUCUUCUGAUAUGUACUACUAAAUUACUAAUUGAGUUCUGUAAUUUUGUUUGAUAAAAAAUUUCUUAUAGGAAAAGGUCGAGUACAUAUGGUUAGCAUCAAUCUUCCGUCACAUGGUUUGAUAUGGUUUUCUCAUUGGUUUAGUUACACACAUAUCAUGUAUUUCCAGGUGCUGUAUUUGAUUUGGUAUGUAUAAUUGUCAGUAGAGUUCUCGGUUUUCUUUGUCCCUUUGCGGAAUUGUUGUGUGCGUGCUUGUGUAUCUAAAAUUUGCUCAUCAUUCCUUGUUUCAAGGUUUUGUCAAGUUCAUGAAGCUAGUGUAGUGCUUGCUUGGUCUGUGUGUGAGUUGGAGGGGUGGGGGGUUUCUAAAUAGAGUCGGUGGCCAGGGAAAUUUGAUUUAGUUUUGUGGCAUUUAAUUUUUAGCGACAUAGGUCCAGUUUCUUCCAGAUACAAUGUUUUCUUGUGCAGAUCUGUUUUUGGCCAAGUGGAGGAAACGGGGUUCCUGUGCUAAAAUCUGAUAGUCUAGUUUUAACAAGGGAUGUAUACACGUUCCCAUUUGAAUUGUCAGUUCCUUUUUGUUUUCAUUAGAAAACUGCACACACGACCACAUAAGGUGAUAUAUAUGUUCUCAGUUCCUCUUUUGCAGUAAACAUACAAAGAUCAGCUGAAGACAUUCUUAAUCAUGUAAUGAUAUCACAGUCCCAUUUUUCCGGACCACUAAUCACCCAGGUGAGACCAUCGAUGCAAGGGACGUACCAUAGGGAAUCAGGAUGAUGGAUACACACGGUUCAAGUUCUCAAAUGGAGCCAGCUGGGAUUACGGCACACCAUUCAGAGAGACCAGUCCUUAAUCCUCUCUUAAACCACCAUCUGCCACAAGUAAUCAGUCGCCGCUUCCCAAGUCAGUAUUUUGAUUUCAAUGUCCAAUAUGUGGUUUCUGCGCAUGUGGGAAUUUAGAUAUGUAAUGUAACAGUGCUCUGCCAUAACUGAUAAGACGGUGUGUGUUGCCUGCUAAGGUUUUUCUGAUUGUCUUUGUUGAGGAACUUGGUCUUUUAACAUGAACAUACUGUUAGUACUUGCAUCUUCUCCAUUCGUUCACAUUUUAGGGAAGCAAAGAAAUAUGAUUGGCGUCGGCGUUGCAUUGUUAGGUUCGUUGUUCCUCAAAGGACUUGAUGAUGUUACACUGUUGUUUCUUUUCUUCAUUAUUGUACAGGAUGAAUAGGCCUCUUGAUUCCA